rnacentral:rRNA from 1 species
UGGGGAAUAUUGCGCAAUGGGGGCAACCCUGACGCAGCCAUGCCGCGUGAAUGAAGAAGGCCUUCGGGUUGUAAAGUUCUUUCGGUAGCGAGGAAGGCAUUUAGUUUAAUAGACUAGAUGAUUGACGUUAACUACAGAAGAAGCACCGGCUAACUCCGUGCCAGCAGCCGCGGUAAUACGGAGGGUGCGAGCGUUAAUCGGAAUAACUGGGCGUAAAGGGCACGCAGGCGGUGACUUAAGUGAGGUGUGAAAGCCCCGGGCUUAACCUGGGAAUUGCAUUUCAUACUGGGUCGCUAGAGUACUUUAGGGAGGGGUAGAAUUCCACGUGUAGCGGUGAAAUGCGUAGAGAUGUGGAGGAAUACCGAAGGCGAAGGCAGCCCCUUGGGAAUGUACUGACGCUCAUGUGCGAAAGCGUGGGGAGCAAACAGGAUUAGAUACCCUGGUAGUCCACGCUGUAAACGAUGUCGAUUUGGGGGUUGAACUUUAAGUUUGGCGCCCGUAGCUAACGUGAUAAAUCGACCGCCUGGGGAGUACGGCCGCAAGGUUA